AUUCUUUAAUGGCAAAAGAUAUGC
rnacentral:siRNA from 1 species